GAUGAACGCUAGCGACAGGCUUAACACAUGCAAGUCGAGGGGCAGCAUAAAAGUAGCAAUACUUUGGUGGCGACCGGCGCACGGGUGAGUAACGCGUAUGCAACCUACCUAUCAGAGGGGGAUAACCCGGCGAAAGUCGGACUAAUACCGCAUAAAACAGGGGCACCGCAUGGUGAUAUUUGUUAAAAAAUUAUUGCUGAUAGAUGGGCAUGCGUUCCAUUAGGUAGUUGGAGAGGUAACGGCUCACCAAGCCCACGAUGGAUAGGGGAACUGAGAGGUUGGUCCCCCACACUGGUACUGAGACACGGACCAGACUCCUACGGGAGGCAGCAGUGAGGAAUAUUGGUCAAUGGGCGAGAGCCUGAACCAGCCAAGUCGCGUGAAGGAAGAAGGAUCUAUGGUUCGUAAACUUCUUUUGCAGGGGAAUAAAGUGCAGGACGUGUCCUGUUUUGUAUGUACCCUGAGAAUAAGGAUCGGCUAACUCCGUGCCAGCAGCCGCGGUAA
rnacentral:rRNA from 1 species